CUGUAUCCCGUGUGCAGGCUGGAAGUGACUGAUGCGGCUCAUGGCAGGAGAGCCGUUGGAGAUGUCGGUUGGGGAGCCAUCUUGAGGACAGAGGAGUGAGCAGAGGGUGUGAGGAACUGACUGGAGGUGCAACUGAAAUCAGCAGCGGAGAGAAGUGGCAGGCUCCCGGGCCUGAACCGUCAGAGGAGAAGAGAAGCAACCCGCUUCCCGCAGCGGCCCCUGGUCUCCAGCAGCAAGGUUUCAAGCCAGGACUGAAGGAGAAGGAGUGGAGGCGUGUGUAUCGCUGUCUCAAUUCGGGACUCAGCAGCAGGAGGCGGGGCCAACAAGUGUCUGUAGCAUGUGAAGAGCAAGGACUAUGCCAACAGAACCAAGAGGAUUCAGGCCUAUCAACAAUUCAUAUCCUACAGUAGACGCAGGAACAGUGAUGCUGACCUGGACUGGGUAAAGGAGAAGAUUUCCGGACAGUGUUCUUGAAGGAACACAAGAAAUACACUGAUUCACUGCGUUCAGGAGCCGGGACUGAUGAGGUUCAUAAGCCAACGCUGUGGAACUGUAUUUAUUAUGACCUCAUGCUGUUUACUUUGGAGCAAGAGCUGAGGAAAGGUCACAAUCCAGAUUCUCCCAUUGUUGGGGAAGAGGAAGAAACAGAGAGUCUGGAUCUAGAUGCUACCCUGGAGCUGUAUGUGGAGCCUUCCACAAGCGAGCCGCCAGAACUGGAGGACAUUGAGGAAGAGGAUAUGCCUCAGCCAGCGCCCUGAAAACAUCGGGGGAAGACCCCACAGAGAUCCAGUUCUGCGGCACCCAGCUUGGAACAAUUAUUUAGACACGCAGAGGACGUUCUUAAUAGGUCCCCGGACAGUUUUCAAAAUUUUGCUAAUAACAUGGCGAGUGAGAUGCAGAUCAUGAAGAAGAAGCAACUCUUCAAGCAUCUGGUAUAUGAUGCUAUGUCACAUGCAGUCGAUAAUUCUCUUGUCGACGAGUGCGACAUAUUGCCAUAUGCCAGACCGCAUCUCCAAAAUGUGCCCCCCCCCCAACUACCCACAUCACCAACCCAUGUAUUAUGUGCAAGGAAAUCCUUCUCAACAGCGACUCUUUUCUCUGCCAGGACCCACAUAGCCCACCCUGCCUACUCAUCCCAGCAGUUCGUCCAGUGACAUGUACACAGACCUGCUGAGUACACAGUCCCAUCACAGGACGAGGCAAGUUUUUUUCAAUUUGUAAAUUAGUUAUUGUUAAAAAAAAAAAUUGGUAUUGUUUAAAAAUUCGUUCUGGACCUUGUCCUCAACUCUUGCUCUAUAAGGAACAGUAGUUUGGUCAUUAGUACCACAGUGUUUGUUUGCCUCAUUUCCUGACUUUUGGACAUUGUGAUAUUUGUUUUUCUUGUGUUCCUUCAAAAAACACUGUUUGGAAAUUUGGGCGACUUCUUCUUUACCCAAAUUAUGUUGGCAUCAAGGUAAUUGUGUACAUGUAUGAUGUUAUCAUUUGUUAUAUGCCUGAUUCCUCUAUAGUGUACUGUUGGCAUAGUCCUUGCUAAACAGACACUUGUUGUCCUGAUGUAAAUUCAAGGAAUCCAGUCCAGAAUGU